rnacentral:rRNA from 1 species
GCGGCAACAGCUCAAAUUUGAAAUCUGGCUCUUUCAGGGUCCGAGUUGUAAUUUGUAGAAGAUGCUUUGGGUGUGGCUCCGGUCUAAGUUCCUUGGAACAGGAUGUCAUAGAGGGUGAGAACCCCGUAUGUGACUGGCUGCCUCCCCCGUGUAAAGCUCUUUCGACGAGUCGAGUUGUUUGGGAAUGCAGCUCAAAAUGGGUGGUAAAUUUCAUCUAAAGCUAAAUAUUGGCCAGAGACCGAUAGCGCACAAGUAGAGUGAUCGAAAGAUGAAAAGCACUUUGGAAAGAGAGUUAAACAGUACGUGAAAUUGUUGAAAGGGAAGCGCUUGCAAUCAGACUUGCGCGCGGCCGAUCAUCCGAGGUUUUCCCCGGUGCACUCGACCGCGCUCAGGCCAGCAUCGGUUUCGGUGGUGGGAUAAAGGCCUUGGGAAUGUGGCUCCUUUCGGGGAGUGUUAUAGCCCUCGGUGCAAUGCCGCCUAUCGGGACCGAGGACCGCGCUUCGGCUAGGAUGCUGGCGUAAUGGUUGCAAGCGACCCGUCUUG